UGAUCCCCCAGACCACAUGACCUUAUGGCUAGAUGACCAAUGCUUCCCUACCAGGUCACAGAGGGGUCAAAACACGCUAGCAAGGUCACCAGAGGGAAAUAUAUAUAACCAAACUUGCAGAAUGGGAAAAUUUAAUCAGGUAGAAACUUGUAUAUUUGACCUUAUAUCUCCUCUCCCUGACCUUACUUGACCCCCUAGACCACAUGACCUUAUGGCUAGAUGACCAAUGCUUCCCUACCAGGUCACACAGGGGUCAAAACACGCUAGCAAGGUCAACAGAGGGAAAAAUAUAUGACCAACUUGCAGAAUGGGAAAAUUUAAUCAGGUAAAAACUCGUAUAUUUGACCCGAUAUCUCCUCUCCCUGACCUCAUAUGACCCCCUAGACCACAUGACCUUAUGGCUAGAUGACCAAUGCAUCCCUACCAGGUCACAGAGGGGUCAAAACACGCUAGCAAGGUCACCAGAGGGAAAAAUAUAUGAACCGAACUUGCAGAAUGAGAAAAUUUAAUCAGGUA